rnacentral:misc_RNA from 1 species
AGGUUUCAUACAUAUAUACAAUCGUGCACACGCAUUCAUGCGAUGGUUUGUUCUGUUAUUAUACAAGAGUGAGAUAGAAAGUGAUUCAUCGUUGAUUGAUACAAAACGGGGAUUUCUGUAAUUAAUAUUUUUCCGUUGAACGUACGUUAUAUUCGUAAAUGACACAAUGUUGCAAAAUUACAGAACAGUAAUGAGGACGAGCGAUAGGUAUACUCGUCAUAAACGUAUCGCUUAAGUCCCUAAUGUUUAAAAUGACGUAUCCCGGGUUAGUACUCCUUGUCGGAGUUGGAAUUGGACUAGCGACUUUUCUGUAUUAUGUGUUCAACGAAAAUCGCGAGGAGCAGCAGCAUUCAUAUUCUAGAAAUGACAGGUCACCGGAGGAUCGCUACGAAGAUCGUUCUUGGUCGUCGCAUAAGGCUGAAAACACAACAUUCAAUAGAAGGAGUUCAUCAAACUCUUUAAAAAAUAAAGAUGGGAGGGAACCUACAACGAGUAAAGAUGAUAUAACCUAUUGUUCAAUCUGCCAAUACGCAUUAAUCGAGAAGUCGGAAGUAAUACAAUUGCGUCCUUGUAAACAUAAUUUUCACAAAGAUUGCAUUGAUGAAUUGAGAAGAUAUGAUCCUGGGGCUUCUUGCCCUAAUUGUAGAAGAAAGAUCAAACAAGCAAUAUAAACGUCACAAACGUACAAUCGGCUUCUAUAGCCAUUGCGUGAUAAAUAUUAAUUGUUAUGUUAUAUAUUUUGCAAGAGAAGGAAACAUAAGAUAUUAAAAGAUUAAAUACUCAUGAUGAUGACUUCUGCUUAGACUUUUAAUUUAUAGCAAAGCAAGUCAUCCGCCCAAUUCUCGAGCGAAUAGAUCUAAAGUUUUGCCUGAUGCAGAAAAUCGAUUUUUCGCGAUACACUUUUUUCGCUUCGCUAAAAAUCGAUUGUUCUUAUUCUUAUCUCGUUCGAAAAACCAUUGGGGUUGAAGGCUUGUCUAAUACAUAGUUCAAAGAUAAAUUAUUAAAUCUGUGCUUCAAUUAUAGGCAAUCAGUCUUAAGCAGCUUGUAACUUGUUUAUAUGUAUAACCAGGAGUCCGUGAUAUUCAGGUUUCUCUUUUCGUUAAUAUUAUUUCAAAUUUACAAAAAUUGAUUACAUAUUAUUUGUUAUGUAAGGAACAAGCAGGGUAUAAACAAAAUUGGAAGCAUUAUUCCAAGAGUGUCUUUCCUGGAGCAAAUCAAGUCGAAAAAAAAAAUUUAUUAUUUUUUUCAAUAAAAAU